CGAGCGAACAGAUAAGGAGCUUGCUCCUUUGACGUUAGCGGCGGACGGGUGAGUAACACGUGGGUAACCUACCUAUAAGACUGGAAUAACUCCGGGAAACCGGGGCUAAUGCCGGAUAACAUGUUGAACCGCAUGGUUCUACAGUGAAAGGCGGCUUUGCUGUCACUUAUAGAUGGACCCGCGCCGUAUUAGCUAGUUGGUGAGGUGACGGCUCACCAAGGCAACGAUACGUAGCCGACCUGAGAGGGUGAUCGGCCACACUGGAACUGAGACACGGUCCAGACUCCCACGGGAGGCAGCAGUAGGGAAUCUUCCGCAAUGGGCGAAAGCCUGACGGAGCAACGCCGCGUGAGUGAUGAAGGUCUUCGGAUCGUAAAACUCUGUUAUUAGGGAAGAACAAAUGCGUAAGUAACUGUGCGCGUCUUGACGGUACCUAAUCAGAAAGCCACGGCUAACUACGUGCCAGCAGCCGCGGUAAUACGUAGGUGGCAAGCGUUAUCCGGAAUUAUUGGGCGUAAAGCGCGCGUAGGCGGUUUUUUAAGUCUGAUGUGAAAGCCCACGGCUCAACCGUGGAGGGUCAUUGGAAACUGAAAAACUUGAGUGCAGAAGAGGAAAGUGGAAUUCCAUGUGUAGCGGUGAAAUGCGCAGAGAUAUGGAGGAACUCCAGUGGCGAAGGCGACUUUCUGGUCUGUAACUGACGCUGAUGUGCGAAAGCGUGG
rnacentral:rRNA from 1 species